UACGAAGGGUGCUAGCGUUGUUCGGAAUCACUGGGCGUAAAGCGCGCGUAGGCGGCUUCUCAAGUCAGGGGUGAAGUCCUUGGGCUCAACCCAAGAAUUGCCUCUGAAACUGUGGAGCUGGAGUACUGGAGGGGAUAGCGGAAUUCCUAAUGUAGAGGUGAAAUUCGUAGAUAUUAGGAGGAACACCGGUGGCGAAGGCGGCUAUCUGGACAGUAACUGACGCUGAGGCGCGAAAGUGUGGGGAUCAAACAGGAUUAGAAACCCCG
rnacentral:rRNA from 1 species